rnacentral:rRNA from 1 species
GUGUCAGCCGCCGCGGUAAUACGUAGGGUGCGAGCGUUGUCCGGAAUUACUGGGCGUAAAGAGCUCGUAGGUGGUUUGUCGCGUUGUUCGUGAAAACCGGGGGCUUAACCCUCGGCGUGCGGGCGAUACGGGCAGACUGGAGUACUGCAGGGGAGACUGGAAUUCCUGGUGUAGCGGUGGAAUGCGCAGAUAUCAGGAGGAACACCGGUGGCGAAGGCGGGUCUCUGGGCAGUAACUGACGCUGAGGAGCGAAAGCGUGGGGAGCGAACAGGAUUAGAUACCCCCGUAGUCC